ACUGAAAGAUGAUGAAGAACAUAUGAGGUGAUCUCCUAUCACUGAUUGCCUCCACUGCCACUAACGACUUACAGAUCGACAGGACUGGAAUAAGAAAAAUCACUUAAUGUCUGUGCUCAUCAAUCUCCAAAUAACUCCAGAGAGGUGAAGAAAUGAAGGAAUCUGACUGUGACUUUUCUGUAGUCAGAGAAUGAAGAAAUGGCAGAACCAGAGAUGAAGCCGGGUCUUCUGACAUCAGGUCCAGGGCGUUUUCCCCCUGUAACGUCUCAUAUUUAUUCCUCUCUAUAAACAUAAAAUAUGUGCUGUUUUUGUCUUCUUAAAGUCCAAAAGAAGGCUCAGAGACUAAAGACACCUAAGAACUCUAACCAUUAAUGUUCCUGGUAUUACCUGGGUGAGGAAAGGAGGGACUUGUCCUCUGAUUUCUGGGCUUCUAGAAGUUGUUGGAGCUGGUUCUGCAGUGUGACACGUUCCAUUGUCUGUCUGGGAAAAGUGAAGCGAGACACAUAAGCUCUCUGAUACAUGGCCACUACUAUAAGUGAGUAGGUAUAAAUUUUGUCAUGAUAAUUUGCAAUAAAUUGCAAUAAAUCCCAAAGCCUUACAAAUA